AUUCUUCUAUUUGCUGUGCAACAAUAGGUUCUUAUAUAUUUAACUGUUGCAUUGUUUUCCUACCACUUCCAUCCUCUGUUCACAUUUAUUCUGAUAUUUUUCACAUCACUAGAAUGCACCAGAGUCACAGAGUUUUUGUGAGGAAAAGUUAAAGUGUAUUUAUACCCAAACUCAAGCUCGGCUUAUCUGGAAUUGAUUCAGUGCAAGAGAGGAUUAACAGCUUGUAAGUAGUAUUUAUCUAUCAUUUAUUUCACUAAGUACACCAUUCACAGCAAUUUGUUUCUCUUUUUUCUCUUUUUUUCCCCUCCAUGUUAGACUGCAUGGAUUUAAACUCAAGGAAGCUUUAACAAGGAAAGGAGUCCAUGAAUGACGCUUAUAGCAAAGGCUCUGACCAUUUACCUCAGACAAAAUAAUUCUUAAGAACAGAGAGAAACUCCGGAGCGUGACAAAAUCACAAAAUUGUUCUGAGUAAGACAGACUCUGCACAGCAGGAGGACAGAUCACCUUCUUCAGCCCAGCCAUGUACUGCUUAUGUACUGCAUAUCUAAAGUGCUUUCUGGAUUGUUUCGGGUUUUUUUUACACACAGCUGAGACCGGAUACAAGACAGGAGGUGCACAGAAGUACAGAAACCAAAAAGAAUAUUAAGGAAUUCACCCUUAACAGCUCACUAACCCUGCCAGACACAAACAAUUUACAAUGCAGUGAUUCAGAAAACAAGGAAUUAGAGCAGAGAGUCACUAAAAUGAUGUUUCACGAAAAACUAAAAGAUAAUAUAUGUUUUAAGUACAGUUUUGUGUUAAAUCUAUUUAACAUCACUACACAGGGUUACUUAUAUACAUUUCCUCCAUAUUUAAGCAGUGUUUAAAGUGUUUUGGCACAUAUCAUGAUUAACUAUGGUUAAAAAACAACAAUAUAAUUUGGAAGGAAAAGAAAUACUCUAGAAAAAAAUCCUAU